GACGAACGCUGGCGGCGUGCUUAACACAUGCAAGUCGAACGAUGAAGCUGGAGCUUGCUCCGGUGGAUUAGUGGCGAACGGGUGAGUAACACGUGAGCAAUCUGCCCUUGACUCUGGGAUAACUGCGGGAAACUGUAGCUAAUACCGGAUACUUUCACUGGAAGGCAUCUUCUGGUGAAGAAAGAAUCUCGGUCAAGGAUGGACUCGCGGCCUAUCAGCUAGUUGGUGAGGUAACGGCUCACCAAGGCGACGACGGGUAGCCGGCCUGAGAGGGUGACCGGCCACACUGGGACUGAGACACGGCCCAGACUCCUACGGGAGGCAGCAGUGGGGAAUAUUGCACAAUGGGCGCAAGCCUGAUGCAGCAACGCCGCGUGAGGGAUGACGGCCUUCGGGUUGUAAACCUCUUUUAGUAGGGAAGAAGCGAAAGUGACGGUACCUGCAGAAAAAGCACCGGCUAACUACGUGCCAGCAGCCGCCGUAA
rnacentral:rRNA from 1 species